UACUAUGCUAACGCGGACGAAGUCGCGGGCAACAGCUAGUUAUAUAUAUAAGUCGGUUACAAACAUACUAGCUCGUAAGAUAUCGCCUAUAAUAUACCUUUUUUAAAUAUUCCUUGAAUAAUAUUUUGUGACAAAUACGGCCAUAUUUAUUAUUUUAAAAAUCAACCUCGCAGGUUUUGGGUGCGGUUGGAAUUAAUAGGUCCAUUUUAUUUUCUAUACAAUAAUUUUAUUAGUUUUUAUUUGUAUCAAAAUAUAAAUUUGUGAACAUCAUGACAACAUUAUUCAAUUUUAUAAUAUUAUGGUCGAUUUAUGUAUGCCCGUUUUCUGAAGAUUUUUGACGGGGGGUUUGUCUAUUACCUCAGAAAACGGCCAUUAAAAAUGGAACACUUAAUUAAGAACAUUGCUAAAAUAUGGUCAUCUCAAUAACCUUGACCUAAUUGUAUUUCAUAGAACAUGAAGUCAGCAAUUCAAAGGAUUUAAUUAAGGAACUCAUUUACCUGUUCACAUGAAAC